rnacentral:rRNA from 1 species
GAUGAACGCUGGCGGCGUGCUUAACACAUGCAAGUCGAACGAAGCAAUUUUGAAACUUCGGUUUCAAAAUUGACUUAGUGGCGGACGGGUGAGUAACGCGUAGGUAACCUGCCUUAUACAGGGGGAUAACAGCUGGAAACGGCUGCUAAUACCGCAUAACACAGUGAAGUCGCAUGACUUUAUUGCAAAAGAGUGAUCGGUAUAAGAUGGACCUGCGUCUGAUUAGCUAGUUGGUGAGGUAAUGGCUCACCAAGGCGACGAUCAGUAGCCGACGUGAGAGAGUGAUCGGCCACAUUGGGACUGAGACACGGCCCAAACUCCUACGGGAGGCAGCAGUGGGGAAUAUUGCACAAUGGGGGAAACCCUGAUGCAGCGACGCCGCGUGGGUGAUGAAGUAUUUCGGUAUGUAAAGCUCUAUCAGCAGGGACGAAAAAAGACGGUACCUGACUAAGAAACCCCGGCUAACUACGUGCCAGCAGCCGCCGUAA